UUCUGUAGGCGGAUUUGCAAGUCAGAGGUUAAAUACUUCGGCUCAACUGAAGUGAAGCUUUUGAUACUGCAUUUCUAGAGGCAACUAGGGGGUAGCGGAACGUAUGGUGUAGCAGUGAAAUGCGUUGAUAUCAUACGGAACACCAAGGGGGAAGCCAGCUACCUGGGGUUGAUCUGACGCUGAGAGACGAAAGCGUGGGGAGCGAAAC
rnacentral:rRNA from 1 species